GGUUUGAUCCGAUUAGGUAAUGAGAUGACCUAAUCGCUAAGAGUGUUCAAUUUUUGAUAUGAUCAGGACUUGAGCUCGAUUAAUUUUUGAUUUGAUUAAAAUUUAAUCAAAGUUAUUUUCUACCUAAUUAGAUUAAGUUUAGUAGUCAAAUUGAGUUUAACCUAAUUUGGUUAGGUUAAGAAUCUAAUUGGAUGAGAAUAUAAUUUGAAUUCGAAUCCCU
rnacentral:lncRNA from 1 species